rnacentral:lncRNA from 1 species
UAGGUAUAAUCCAGUUACCAAGAUGUGACUGUCAGGAGUGAAGGUGCUAUUCAGGUCAACUUCACAGUUGUUCAAUCCUCAACAGAUUUAAACAAUGAAUCAAAGAAAGAAAAGGAGGGCACCAGCACUGAUGACGCCAGCAAUCCAACUACUAAAGAGUUUGAAACCUUAAUUAAAGACCUUUCAGCUGAAAAUGGUUUGGAAUGCCUCACGUUACUCUCCUCCUCAAAUCUGGCUCUUUAUUGAUACCAUUCCUACAAAGAGGCAUCACGGUUCGUCA